CAACCAGGGAAUCUGCCUAGCAACAAGGGUGAGAGGCAGCGCCUGCCGGGAUUGUUUGGAAUGGCUGACGAAUAGGCAGCCGAGAAGACUUUUCUGGAUUUUGUCAAGCUGAGGUCUCAAGCCAAGAGGAGAAGGGUGAUCUCGGGGGAUCAAAAAAGACGUGGGAGGCAGGGCAGACACAAAGUCAGCAUAUUGGAGACUUUACAGACCCAAACUAGAAAAAGCCUCCUGCCUUUCCCACAGUGUGCUUAGCAAAGAGGUGGCCUUCCCACUGCCACCAGGAGGAAGCUGACACCCCAGAGUGGACACAGAGGAAGAGUCCCCACCUCCUCUGUGCUCUGGUUUGCGAGGGCACAUACAACAGGACACAUGUUCACACGUGCUGCUGACCUGGAAUUGUUCAACUCAGAAAACCACGGAUCCUUGGAAAGGAUGGAGACCCACAUUCCUCACAAUGAGCCCACGGGCAGCUUCGCGGCUUUCCAAACAGUCUGACACUAAGAACUCGAGACUGGUCUGGCUUCAAUCCUUUGCCCAUUUCUCUCCUUUCUAUCCAUCACAGGACAAGGGCCUGGGCGCGCCCCUCUGUGAACCCUCAAGACCCUCCCCUGAAGAGAAGAAAAAUUGUCUUCCGCCUUUGACCUGAUUAAUAAUUAAAACCGCUGAGUUUGAACUGCCCCUAACGGUGAGGUGCUCCAAAACCCCAGAAAACUUUAACAAAUAGCCAGCCUGCUGCGGGGAGAGGAAGCUCUUUUCACUAGACGAACUGACAAUUAGCCGCUAUUCAAAAUCCCCCUCCAGUCUUAGCAUAUUGGUUCUCCUUUGAAAGUGGCUCGGCAUGGGGUAGAAUUUUUGGCCUUGAGUUGGGAACUACUGUGCAUAAAAUCAAAGAAUGGAAGCCAGCAGUUGAGAGAAUAGAGGCUAUUUGGGGAUUAGUGAUUUCAGGAGUUAGACUUCUAAUAACUUGGUGAGUGGUGGGUUAGGAAUGUCCUCAGGAGCAUCAGGCAGUCAACUCGGUGGGACAUGUCCUCACAUUGAACUGGAAAGCGUGAGUCACUCACUACCCCAGAGAUCAGAAAUACAAAAUGGCAGGAAAUAACUGCAACUCGGCAGCGCCACAUGGCAUGCGGCAUUUUAGAACUGCUGCAGGCUACAUCUCACGCUUGCAGUCUUGGGGUUACAUGUGAGACCCCAAGUAGGGCUCCAAGUUUUCUCCCCAAAGAGCCACAAAUAUAGACCACCACCCCAUUAGGGAACACACUGAUGGAAAACAAGGAGUGGAUGAGAUAGGAGAAGGGAGAAGGAGGGAGCAGGCAUCCAAACUGCUCAUUUUCCCCUAGGAAGCAUAAGGCCCAGCCACCACGGUGGGUGAGCAAAGCAAAUUGGUAAUGGGUGAUCCAGAUUGCAUCUCGGAGUCUUGCCUGCUUUCCAGGCACUUACUGAACUUUUAUAACUCUUUUGGGGGUAAGGCAGGAAAACCUGUGGUUUCUUAUUGACCAGUUGGGGAGAGGGAGUCGAAGCUGGCUGGCCCAAGUCUGUUGCUUCUGUACAAGCCGUACUGUAGCCCACCCAGAGAUGCUUCUAAAUAAAUUUACUAAGGGAGGAGAGGCUAGAAAAUUAUCAUGUGAUCAUCGGCUGCAGCAGCUUCAAGGUUGCAAAAGCCCAGCCUGGAAAGUCCUAGAAAGUCAUUUUUCCAGAGAAGGAAAGCAUAAGCCAGAGAUCCACACAGACCACUCAUCCUCAACACCCUUUGUGAUGUAAAUGUCAACACUCAUUUCUACUGAAUAUAUAUCCAAGAGUGGAACCACAAGGCCACUUAUCAUAAACGAAGUAGCUUGGCCUUCAAGAGAAAGGGGGCCAUGUCUGUCUGUUGUUUUACCCUGUGAGACUGUCACGAGCUUUUACUGUUUUACCAGUAACUGAUUUACUACUAAUCACCAUGGAAACAGAGGUAGAAAAUGUGAAGAACACAACCCAGGAAGCCACAGAGAGUAAAGAAUUUUCCAGGUGAUACAAGGUUUGGUCCUGAGGUCUGGCUCCUGCUCCUUUCCAACAUGACUUCUGGAAGGCCUCCGUGGAUACCACCCCUCUCGUGUCCCAGAGCCCCAUGUUCCUCCCCAUUUUCUCUCUGCUUGGGUGGCCUUGGGGAAGAUCCAUUACUUCUGGGGGUUUCAGUUCUUCUAGGCCUCUCAUUUACUGG